GGAAGGCAGCAGCCGCAACUAGACCCCAGGAGUGCGUUG
rnacentral:SRP_RNA from 1 species